AGUGGAGCUCAAGGUGCUGGAGCUUUUGUGUCAGAUCCUGCAGACUGAUUCUCUCUCGAUGGUUCAGCAGUGGCUUCUGUUGGCGAGUGACAGAGAGAAAGAGCUGGUUCAGGGGUUACUCCAGCAGGCCAUGACCGACUCCAGCUCUCUGACCCAGCAGACGUCUGGAUCUGAACUUCUACCUUUGUCGUCUGAAGAUCUGCCUGAUCACGUGUUCCUCAGUUCAUCUGUCAGCCAGAGGAAGAGCAUUUCACAUCCCGAAGAGACAUUACAGGACAAACCAGGUGAGGCUUCUGUGCUUGUGUCAGAUGUAUUGUGAACUGGAGCGUUAUUAAUACGCCGUUGUCAUUCUGAGAGGAUUGAGUUCAUGACUCCACGUGGGCUGCCUUUGGCAGAGAAGAUUAAUGUUGCUCUCAGCUUUUAUUAAAACACAAUUUGGCUCUGUUUCAAACUCCAGUGAGUCUCCGUCUGCAUCAAGGCUCCUCGUUCCUGGUUCUGUUUCAGUUCCUUUCAAAUGUGCUUCAGCACCUGGCUAGGAUUUUCAAGUGACUUUGAUUAGUGGAUUUAAGUGGAACUAGAGCUAAACGCUGUAGGAAAGUGACUCUUCAGGACUGAGAUUGAGAUACACUGUUCAAAUAGACAGCUACACUCUUAAAAAUAAAGGUUGCUUAAGCUUUACUAUUCA
ensembl:lncRNA